rnacentral:lncRNA from 1 species
AUGGUGACUGGGACCCCAUACCACAGCUGGACAGUGUCAUAUGGCCCUCACCCAGGCCAGAGGAAACUGCUGGUGGAGAGGGGCUGGGUCCUUGGUGCUGGUACUAAGAGGACUGUGGCAAGCAUCCUGUGGGCCACCCACAGCCAGCACUUCCUAAUUGGCUCUUCAUCUAUGCCAGCUCUCUCUCCCCACCCCCCAUUUCUCUUGGUUUCUGUGCUCCUUGGACCCAUGUCCACGCCUGGGCACCUGCCAAUGGCAAGCCCACUUUCAAGACCACUCACUCCACUUCAAGCCAACAGCCCAGUGGAAUAGACUUCUGUCUCCAAACCCAGUUCUCAGGUAUAUUUCUUUUCCAGUACCAUGCUGUUUUUAUCAUGGUAGCUUUGUAUUGUAACUUCAAAUUGGAGACUGUGAUCUCCCUGCCUUGAACUUGUUGCUCAGAAUUGCUUUUGCAAAGCCUCAUGCAAUCUUUUUUGGAGGCAGCUGAAUUUGGAAUGUGUGAUGUUGGGAUUAAGGGCAUGUGAUUACUAAACCACUGCAUGUGAGGGAUUGGUUUGUCACUGCCUAGUCCAUGUAGUCUGGAUGGGAUAAAAGAAGCGGAAAGACACUAUUGACGUCUCUUGUUGCUUUUGCUGCCAUGUGGGUGCCAUGAACAGUUUCUUCUCUGCAACACCACUCUGCCAUGUUCCACUCUACCUUGGGCCCAGAUGAUUAUGGACUGAAACCUCUGCAAACUGUAAGCCAAAUAAACCUCUUCCCCUUUAACUUUGGGUGUCAGGUAUUUUGCCUCAUCAACAAGAGAAAACUAACAGUUCUGUUAAUACAUACCCUGCAUUUCUUUGUGCACAUGUCAUUAAUGAGCACUUGGUCUUUGUGUCAUUAUCACUGGGCCAAGAGAUGCCUAUACAGCUAAUAAAACAUCAUCACUGGGUGCAUCUUUGAGUCAUUUCCAGAUGAGUUUUUGUUGAACCAGUAUACUAAGCAAAGAACAAUUACUGCACCAGUGUAAGUAGGCACCAGCCAAUCCACUGAGGGCUCCCACAGAACUAAAGGCCAAGGAAGGGAAAAUUCACUCUGCUGAAUCAGAGACACUAAUCCUUUGCCCUCAGGCAUCAGCAUUCCUGGUUCUCUGGCCUUUGGGCUGAGACCAGACUGUAUCAGUGGUUUUCCUGGGCUUCCAGCUCACAGAGAUGAUGGCAGGAAUUCUCAGCUCCACCACUAUGUGAGCCAACCCCCACCCCAACAAAUUAAGGAUCCAUCCAUCCAUAUAUUCAUCUACCCAUCCAUUCAUCCACCCAUUAUCCAUCCAUCCACUGAUGUAUACAUCUAUCCAUCCACCAGUCCAUCCAUCCAUGCACUAACCCACCCAUUCACCAAUCCAUCCAUCCAUCUGGCUGCUUCUGCUUCCCUGAAUAAUAUAGUUCUCUUGGUAUACACCCCAGAUACCUUCCACCAUCCAGUGCCAGAUUCACAUGCUGCUCCCCCUCAACCCCUUCUGCACACUCUUACCCCCAACUUUCUUAUUAUCUGAGAAUCACUGCACACAGAGCAAAGUGCCCAGCAGGGCUUGAGGGCUCCCCAGAGACUGCCAGCUGCCAGUCUGUGUGCAGGGAGCUCAGCUCCUUGGCGACCCAUUCACAGGUCCCUAUGGGAUGGCCAAUGAGGCUGGGACUACGCCUGGGGUGGUAUCCUGCCUGGUGCCUUCCCCACCACACCAUUUCUCCUGGCAGCAUUGCCUUUAAAAAUUCCAUGAAAUACAAAAACCAAGAUGUGUCAUGUACACAUAUCAGCUCCCCAUGAUAAAUGUAUUCAUUGUGUACAACAGACAUAAACAAAUAAAAGAAAGAAAUUCCAUGCAAAUGCAGGUCUGAGUCUUUCUGGAGCUCCAUUUCAAACAAGCCCACUGGUGGGAAGAGGGGCCUGACCCCAUGGGUGAGCUGUGAGUAAAUGUAACUGGUACGCGUGGGAAGGGAUCCUUCUGGUCCGCUGAGAUCUGAUUCUGUUUCUCACGCUUCCUUCCUUAGCCCCAUGUACUGGGAGGCCACUGGGGAUCCCAAAUCUAGGCUUCCAAAAUGAUCACCUUUCAAAAGAAAGCAGAGGACAGUGGUUAUUAUUUAAAAAGAAAAAACAAAAAACCAAACAAACAAAAAAAACAAACAACAAAGGCUAGCCUGGUAUAUGACUUGAUUUUUGCUGCUCUGGGCCACUGUUCCCCACCACCCACCCCCUGCCUACUGGCAGAGAAUUUUUUUAUUUUUUUCAUUGAUGUGUUUAUCCUCAGCCUUUGUCUGCUUAUGCAGAGAUAUAAAAACAUAUACAUUUACAAGGAUGUAAUCAUCCUGCAAACACUUCUCUGCAAACUUUAAUUUAACCCUAUAUUAUGGACACUACAUCUAGUUCUUUUUCCCAUUUUG